GAGCAUUAGUGCUUCUCUCCACAACCCCCUCAUAUUCUGAUCCCCAUCAAGCCCCUAAAAAUGAAGGAGAGAAACCACCUCCAAAACAUAAACCACCACAUGGUCAUCUUCUAGCUGAAAGUGUAGAAGAAUUUCAUGAACAUGCAAAAGGUAAAAGAGACAAGCCACCACCUAAACACAAACCACCACAUGGACAUCUUUUAGCUGAGGAAGUAGAUGAUUCUUUUAAACCGCCUAUGGGUAAGGGAGAAAAAUUUCCACCGGAACACAAACCACGUAAUCCUCCAUCAGAGCAUAAGCCACCGCACAAGCCUCCACAUGCGCAAAAGCCACUAAAUAGACGUCUUUUACAAGUAGAUAUUGAGGAUGCACAUAAAGAAAAGGGAGAGAAGCCACCACAUGGACAUCUUUUGGCCGAGGAAGUUAUGGAGGACUCGCCUAAGAAAAAGGGAGAGAAGCCACCACCGAAGCACAAGCCACCACAUGGACAUCUUUUGGCCGAGGAAGAGGUCGAGGACUCACACAAAGGGAAGGGAGAGAAGCCACCACCAAAGCACAAGCCACCACAUGGACAUCUUUUGGCCGAGGAAGAAGUUGAGGACUCACACAAGGGAAAGGGAGAGAAGCCACCACCAAAACACAAGCCUCCGCAUGGACAUCUUUUAGCUGAAGAAAAAGUUGAGGACUCACACAAGGGAAAAGGAGAGAAGCCACCACCAAAACACAAGCCCCCGAAUGGACAUCUUUUAGCUGAAGAAGAAGUUGAUGACUCACACAAAGGAAAGGGAGAGAAGCCACCACCAAAGCACAAGCCACCACAUGGACAUCUUUUGGCCGAGGAAGAGGUCGAGGACUCAUACAAAGGAAAGGGAGAGAAACCACCACCAAAACACAAACCUCCACAUGGACAUCUUUUAGCCGAGGAAGAAGUUGAGGACUCACACAAGGGAAAGGGAGAGAAACCACCACCAAAACACAAGCCCCCACAUGGACAUCUUUUAGCCGAGGAAGAAGUUGAUGACUCGCACAAGGGAAAGGGAGAAAAGCCACCACCAAAACACAAGCCACCUCACGGGCACUUAUUAGUUGAAGAGGUUGAAGACUCACACAAGGGGAAAGGAGAAAAACCACCGCCAAAGCACAAACCACCUCAUGGACACCUUUUAGCUGAAGAGGCCAACGACUCUCACAAAGGAAAGGGAGAGAAGCCACCAUGCAAGUCUCCUCACAAACCCCCAUCAGCCAACUAAGUGCCUUACGCUAAUUUCGCUAGAUGCUUAAAAAUAAGAAACAGAAGUAGUUUACUCUUCUGUUGGUUUCUGUAUCUGCAUUUUUCACUGAAUUAGUAUUUGUACUUUGGCUUGUAUUAUAUGAGUACUACCCUCUAGUUGGCUGUUUUAUGUAGAUUAUGGUUUUAUGUUCUAGUGCUGCGCGUAUUAUUUCAGUUGACUUAACUUUUAUUUGCAAAAUAUACAGCAAGACAUGCACACAAUCCUAGUACGUAGUUUUGCCACAUGCAUAUAUUUGGUGGUAGGAUAUUGUCAACGACAACAACGUUUAAUUACUUUAACUUAAACACGUGCUGAUGAUUUUUUUUUUUGUAAAAGCCCUUUAUUAGUAAACUAGUAUUACUCUGACAUCAACAGAUAUACCAUAGGUUUUGUCUAAAACUUGAAGGUUUCUGUAGUUUAAUUUGGUAAGUAAAAUUUUUUGUGUGUAGCACAUAAUGAAUAUGUUACUUACAUGUGUAGAUUUAUAUUUUACAUUUUAUUUUAAUAUUAGAUAAUUAAUAUAUAUAUAUUUAAUUAUUUAAAUUUAUAUAUAUUACUAAUUUAUUAAUUUAGUCUAUAUAUAUAUAUGAUAUACAUUUAAGUUAAAUUAGGUAAGAAGUUAUUAAGUACUUCCAAAUUAAUAUGAAAUAAUUCUCUAAAGGAAAUGAAUCAACUCUUGGAAAAUGUCGGGAGAAAAGAUUUCAAAUUUCUGCAUGUCUCUGUUUCUGCUCAGUGGAUGUCUCUGUUUCUGCUUGCUGCCUAUGUUGCAAUAUUUAUUUGGCUUUUUAUUCCUGGUAAAUUUCUUAUUUUCCUCUUAAUUUUGACUAGGCCGGCUGAUUCGGGAGUAAGAUUUAAGUAGUUUUAUAUUUAAUGAAAAGUAGAAUUCUGAAGAAGCGAAAAUAAAUAUAAAAAGGGAUAAUUGGUGUUCUGAGUGAAUCAUUAUUAAACACAAAAUUAGUAUUACAAACAAAAUUGCAAUUAUCAAAAUGACAGUAUGCUCCACAGAUAGAUGAUUAUCUAAUCAGUACUUAUAAUUAGCCUAAAUUUAAUAGGAAUAGUACAGAAUUAAACUUUCUUUUUUAAAAAAAGGGUCAUUAAACUGAAUCAUAAGAACAGGAUAGAGAGUAUUUGUAAUCAAAGAAACAUAGAGAGAAUUCAAAGUAAUGCCCCCAGAUGAUAGCCCUGAACAAUAAAUAUUACUUAGAAAAACAAACUGCCAAGAGAAAUUAGUCAAUAAAAUUUAGAUUGAAUCACGAUAUUUAUAAACGAGUAGAUAAAUAUAUCUUUUUUAUUAAAAAAUAAUAUUGCAUAAUUCAUCUUAAUUUAUUUCAACUUUUACUCAUAAAAUGUGAUAUAUAAUAUAUUUAUAAAAUUAUUAAUAUUUUGAUAUUACUCUCUUAAUUAAUAAAUAAUUCCAUAAAAACAUCAUACACCAUAUUAUAUAAACAAUAGUUGGGACAAAUCAAAAUGAAAUGUUUAGCAUUUUUCUAGUUAAAACCUAUUCUACAAUUCAAACCAAAAAUAGCAGUCCAAGAAAGCAUAUCUUUCACUAAUAAUCCAAACAAAUCGCUAAUUCUAAACAACCACGUUUUGGUUAAAAGAUUAUUAAUUUAGUUUGUCUAAUAAUUCGAUCCUGAAUUUGCUGAGCCGCAGUAGGAUCUCGCUCGUAUAUACAAAUCCUGAAGAAGAUCACUAUAAAUUUCUGAUCCAAUAAUGAAACUUUGAAGUCCAUAAGUAGGUUUAGGAGAAAUUUAAAGGCAGAUUCAGUUUUAAUAUUAAAUUAUAAAUAAUAUCAAUUAUACAGUAAUAUAUAACAUUAUUUACUGAUUAUUACACUUAUAUCAGUUGAAUUCUAGCCAUAAAUAAUGAAUGGUAUGGAUAGUAGUACUUAAAAAGAAUAAUCUCCAUAUAUAUAUAAAUGCAUGGAAUUUAAUAACUUUCACACCUAUGAAAUUAUCCCACCUAAAACAGAAAACCUUAGUAUUAAAUUGAGAAUAAUGCAGAAAUAUAAAUAUUUGAAAUAAUUACAAAUAAUGCAGAAAUACAAGGACCGCAGGAAAACAGAGGCCACACACUCUUGGCUGGAAUGAUUUUCCUAUUUUUGCAUGCUCACCCAUUACUCUACUCUAUCGCAUUAUUAUUGUUCAAAACUUCACAACUUAACAAAUAUACUUCCAACACAUCACAUGCGUGACCCAUUAAUUAUUACAUGUGAACGUAAAAUGAGAAGUGGUGACAACAGCAGUGAUGUCACACUUUCUGAUAUUACUACAAUUCUUGGAUGACUUACCUUAAUUCCUUUCUGGUGCAUGUUGCAGUAAUUUAUUAGAAAUACAUAAGACCUUUUUUUUCUUCCUAUCUCUUUGUUUCAUUGUAGAAUAGUCCGAGACAACGAUAAUAUCUUACACUUAAUUUGUCUGUAAAUAUAUAUACACUUGACUUUACAUGCUAUAGUAUUAUUAACUAGUCACCUAGACAGAUUUGAAGUAGAUAAUAUUUAUCGAUAAAUUACUUUCUAGAUUUCUAUUUUAUGGUUACAUACAUCAAAAUUUCUGCAAAACAAGUGGAGAAUAGCCUAAUUUGGGGAUUCAAAGAAACUUUGAUGGCUUCUUUUUCUACUCGAAAUUAUACUAAAAAUAAUUCAUAAACAUGAAUGAUCCAAGGGUGGAGAGCAAGACUCUUAGCCAGUUUGUCAAAAAUUUUAACUCGAUGGGACCCAAUAGAUCUAAUUGGUUCGUAAGAGAGCCAAAUGUAUUCAACUUCACUACAUAGUGUACUAAUCUAUAGUAAAGGACAGGUGCAGUAUGACAUGGGUGGUGACGACAUAGUCCCACCGUCCACCCAUGCAAUAUUAUAAAAGGCAGAGCAAAGCUUCAAGUUUUGCACCAUCAACUGAACCCCAAAUAUGUCUUCUAAAUACUUGCUAGUGUUGUUCCUCCUCGGAGCAUUAGUGCUUCUCUUCACAACCCCCUCAUAUGCUGAUCAUCAUGAGCCCCUUAGAAAUAAAGGAGAGAAACCACCUCCAAAACAUAAACCACCACAUGUUCAUCUUCUAGCUGAAAAUAUAGAAGAUUUUCAUGGACAUGCAAAAGGUAAAAGAGACAAGCCACCACCUAAACAUAAACCACCACAUGGACAUCUUUUAGCUGAGGAAGUAGAUGAUUAUUCUACAUCUCCGGGAUGGAAACUACAUAAUCCUCCAUCAGAGCAUAAACCACCGCAUAAGCCUCC
rnacentral:lncRNA from 1 species